CAGCUGAGGGGCCUCAGGGGGCAGAGCUCUGGGGUGUCUCCACUAUGGUCUGGGUUCCUCUCCUUCCCCCCUCCUCACUGACCCGCCUGAGGG
rnacentral:pre_miRNA from 15 species